GCCGCUUGCCGUGUGCAGUGAGAUGAGCUGCAGGGCUUCUCUUACGUCUCUCCCCCACCUGUACUAUGAAGAGAGUCAUUCUUUCCCUUGCCGCCCCACAGUGUCGUAUAGAGGACUAACUGACACGACGUGCAGGAAGGUACUUGGCGGAGUGCACAGUGCCAGGUGUGAUCACAGGAGCCAGGUGAUGAGGCUGCGUGCCCUCCCACACCCUUCCAGGACAUUCCACUGCAAACAGCAGCUGAUAGUCACAGCGCCACGCCAUCGUUGUCCCCUCACCAGAACAUUUGUGCAAGAGUUACCAGACAAGCAGGGCCAUCAGAAAACAACUUUCCCUUUCUUUCUGCGUCUGUGCUGCUCAAAGCCCAAAAGGCAGAGGGUGAUCUAAAGCAUCCUGAAUUGGAAGACACGGGUUCUUAUCUCGUCCUUGUGACCUUGACCUUCGGGUGAAAUAUGACGGCAUGUAAAGCAGUAUUGAGGAGCUAGUCAAAGGCAAGUCAUCGUUUGUUACCCACUUUCCUUCAGGUUAUUCAAGUAGCACCAAUCUGCCAAUUAAGUCACUGUGAUUUGAAAGCACAUUUAAGUCCUGGCUCGCGUACAUAACCUCUUCAGCCUCCCGCAUUGCUUUGGAAUUCCUGGCCCAGAAUGGGAGUUUAUGCUGGAGAGAUACCAGCGGAUGGGCCAUUUGUUUAUCGGCGUUGCCUGGCACAGGCAAAGGUCAUUGAAGGUAGGAUGCCAAAUAUAGGCUUGCCCGUCACUCAGCCCCAUCUGCCACCUGGUCACAAUCUCCAUCACAUCACCUGGCAUUACUCCCUGGGGCCGGUCCCGGGGAUGGCCGUGUUGUCACUGAUGAAGUCGAGGCUCAGGACUGAAACGGAGGACAGUUUGGGGUUCCUGAAGAUGAGCUAGAUGGCAAGCUCCGCUACAUCAGCUGGGAAGAGAGUGGACCCCACACUUCUGGACACCCAGAUCCCAAAGAGAGAUGGCCUAUAUCAAUUUUCUUCACGAGUAAUGCUGUAGAAACUAUUAUAUUGGGGAUGUGCCGUAGUGAGCACUGGGGAAAGCUCUGGAUCAGAUGCAGGAGGCCAGAGUUCUAGUUCCGUGUCGCCUCCUCAGAGCUGUGUGAUCUGGGAAAACCGGCAAAGCUCUCUGAACUUCAGGAAACAGUCUCUAAAAUGGGCUUAAGAGUCUCAUCUGUUCCACUACAGCUGGGAGGCUUGUAACACUUCAAGUACAUCAAAUCACUCUGUAAACGGUUGAGUGUUAUAAAAUGUGAGAGCUAAUCAGACCUGCAAUAACCAUGAACUGUCACAUAUCGAUCUGAACUUUUAUUUUAUUUUAUUUUUUUUUAAUUUUUUUAAUUUAUUUAUGAUAGUCAUACAGAGAGA
rnacentral:lncRNA from 1 species